AAAAAGAGAAAUGGGGUAGCAAGGUAUUACACUCAGGACAUGAGGGUUGGGAGGCGUGAGCCUCAACCACUCCCCCAUGAUCCUCCGAAAAAUAAAAUGCGAAAAUAAACAAGGGAAUACAAGGAUUGAACACAGGUCAUGGUGGCUAGGAGAUCGAAGGACAAACAAACCCACCAUAACCCUCUUUCUAUCAAUAUAAUGCAUUAAUAAAUAUAUGAUAUAAAAAACGUGUAAAACGGAAAAAAGAAAAACUAAAUAAACAAAGUCAGUAGCAACACGCUUGUGUAUGAACAAAAUAUUGUUCAUCUUCUGCCUCAUGACAACCAAACAACAA
rnacentral:lncRNA from 1 species